CUGAAUGCUUUUUCCCCUACUGCUACUGUUCUGAGCUUUCUAGAAUGAUUGUUUCGCCUUUACCAAAUUACCGUUAAGAUAUAUUUUAAAUGAAAAGUGCCAAUCUGCUUACAGAAAUAUUUGUGAACUGAGAAAACACUGAAAUUUAUUUGUCCCUCAAUACAGAAGGCGUCUUUCGUCAGUCUGAACUCUAAAUCCUGAUAAAAGUUUCACCAAUUCCAUUCUGGCUAUCGUCUCCUACUUAUGAAUUAUGAUUUUUCUCACGUACGCAUCUCAUGGCAUUCAAGAGUUUCAGUUGACUUGACUUGACUUGGCAUGCCACAGCUGGUCACCGGCCAAACACUGUAAUGAGGACAGGAACAGUAGGCUAAUGUCUACCACCAACAGGCAGGGGCAGAAGGAUUGGACCCAUUGGUCUACCGGAAUAAUGGAUUUUUUUGUUUGCGGAACCGGAAUAAUGGAAAUUAUUGUUGGAAGUAACUGUCAACCUGGUACACGGCUACGGUUAGCGGAACAUGGUAGACCACUCAAUUCCCCUUGUCCUCGCCUGAACUUCUGAAGAAAGGAGAUUUUGUGUGGAACAGUCUAUGAGGCUGGGAUUGAAUCGGUCAAUUGCUGUUGCAAGCAUCUGGAGAUGUAUAUUUCAUCCUCUGUUCCUCUCUCCUGCUGACGGUUACACGUUAAGCAAGACAAAGCAGAAAAAAAAGAAGAACUCUGAAUCCUGGAGAAAAGCUUGUCUGAAGUCUGAAUCCUGGAGAAAAGUUUACACAAUUCUGGCUCUCAUUUAGUACGUCCGAAAAUUACGAUGUUUUAUCGAUUACGCAUCUCAUUGCAUCCAAGAGUUUCCAUUGACUUGACUUGACUUGGCAUUGCAUUCAGGAGUCUCAAAAAAAAAAAAAAAUCGACCAGCAGCAGGUUAGCGACAAUGGACUGCUCAGCUGUACUAUUGCCAGUGGGAUCAUCGUCAGACGCGUCGAGUCCUUUUCUAUGACAGGGAAGAGAAAUGGCUGUGACUGACGUGUUUCCGUGAAGGCAGGGGCACAAGGACUCGACCCCACUGGUCUACCGGAAUAAUGGGGCAGUAACUGUCAACACGGCUACGGUUAGUAGGGCACUGCAGCUCCAGGUUUCAGUUGUUGAAAAAAGGAUUUAAAUUGAACUACAAAGCCGUCUUAUAUUUAGUUACACAAGGUACUGGUAGAUAAUUGGUCGUGCAUUGCAACGAGAUGUAAAUAGUAUGUCAGAUCGUGAUUUAUCUGCAUAUAUUAAUUUGAUUUUGUAAAAAAUAAUAUUUUAUUUGGUACUCCAUUUGUAAAGAAAUAUAAGAGCGUUUAGAUCACUAUUUUAGUGGUCUAAACGAUCUUAUUUUCUUUACGGAGAGGGGUAUGUACUUAUUUGACUUA